rnacentral:sRNA from 14 species
UUGAGAAGCCUGAAUAUUGAAGUAUUCUAGCUUCAGAAAAGGUAAAGCACAAGAGCAAGCAACCUUCUUCUACAUUGACCUCCUGGUGUGCUUUAACUGUGACCCCAAGGAGCCACAUCUAGAUAGGAGAGGGAGUUCAGUUUCCAAGGGCCCAUUCAAUCCUAAGCUCCU